GUAGUACUCCCUCCGUCCGGAAAUACUUGUCCUAAAAAUGAAUGUAUCUAGAUUUAUUUUAGUUAUAGAUACAUCCAUUAUAUCUAUUUUUAGGACAAGUAUUUUCGGACGGAGAUAGUAUUAU
rfam:Hordeum vulgare subsp. vulgare, WGS project CAJW01000000 data, contig: morex_contig_1563262